GAUCAUGGCUCAGGAUGAACGCUAGCUACAGGCUUAACACAUGCAAGUCGAGGGGCAUCAGGAAGAAAGCUUGCUUUCUUUGCUGGCGACCAGCGCACGGGUGAGUAACACGUAUCCAACCUACCAGUUUACUCGGGGAUAGCCUUUCGAAAGAAAGAUUAAUACCCGAUGGCAUAAUGAUUCCGCAUGGUUUCAUUAUUAAAGAUUCCGGUAAAGGAUGGGGAUGCGUUCCAUUAGGUUGUUGG
rnacentral:rRNA from 1 species